CUACCAUGCAGUCGAGCGGUAGAGAGGUGCUUGCACCUCUUGAGAGCGGCGGACGGGUGAGUAAUGCCUAGGAAUCUGCCUGGUAGUGGGGGAUAACGCUCGGAAACGGACGCUAAUACCGCAUACGUCCUACGGGAGAAAGCAGGGGACCUUCGGGCCUUGCGCUAUCAGAUGAGCCUAGGUCGGAUUAGCUAGUUGGUGAGGUAAUGGCUCACCAAGGCGACGAUCCGUAACUGGUCUGAGAGGAUGAUCAGUCACACUGGAACUGAGACACGGUCCAGACUCCUACGGGAGGCAGCAGUGGGGAAUAUUGGACAAUGGGCGAAAGCCUGAUCCAGCCAUGCCGCGUGUGUGAAGAAGGUCUUCGGAUUGUAAAGCACUUUAAGUUGGGAGGAAGGGCAUUAACCUAAUACGUUAGUGUUUUGACGUUACCGACAGAAUAAGCACCGGCUAACUCUGUGCCAGCAGCCGCGGUAAUACAGAGGGUGCAAGCGUUAAUCGGAAUUACUGGGCGUAAAGCGCGCGUAGGUGGUUCGUUAAGUUGGAUGUGAAAUCCCCGGGCUCAACCUGGGAACUGCAUUCAAAACUGUCGAGCUAGAGUAUGGUAGAGGGUGGUGGAAUUUCCUGUGUAGCGGUGAAAUGCGUAGAUAUAGGAAGGAACACCA
rnacentral:rRNA from 1 species